AAUAUGAUUCAUAUGAAAUAUGAAGGCUGCCUCGGCCGGCACCUAGCAGCUGACUUAGAACUGGUGCGGACCAGGGGAAUCCGACUGUUUAAUUAAAACAACUGUAUUUCUUUAUUCAAAUCGUUGUUAAACAAAAAAAAAAUCAUUUAAAAAAGAUCCUAUUUGUGACAUAGAAAUAUCACUGGGCGGGGCCAAAGUCUCCCUGCUCCGCCCUUUUCCUGAUCUGACUGUACGACUGGAGAGUGAGGAUAUUGCUGCUGUUGUUGUUACUCUGCCAAUGGUGGGGGGGUGAGGGGCUGUAAGCUAGCAGGAAAGAGCAUGAACACAGAGCAGGCUUACUCCAUGCCAACGGUCCCGCCCACAACUCACAACAGAGGUGAAUUUCUAGUGACGUCCUGCCGCUCUGCAGAAACUAUGUCCUCGAAAACGACACAGGUUUUUGGAUUUUGGCUAAAAACGGCAUCAUAAUAAUUAAACGACCACUGAGAAUGCUUUAAAAAACAGAUCAAAAGAUAAUCGGACUUUAAAAAACGUGAUCAAUAAAUGACCAAGGCUUAUCAAAUGAUAUGAUCCCAUUGGCUCCUGCGGCUGUUGUCAUGUGACUGGAAGUGGAUUCCCCCCUCCCUACCGCAGCUCCAGGUUCUGAUCCUCGCUUUUCUAUCCUCAACUAGUUCCAUUUUACUUAAAAUUACCCAAAAGCUUUUUCCAAAUGAUUAAUCAGGAUUAGUUUAACCCCCUCCCAAUAAAAAAACCUGGCUAAGUAAAAAGCUGAAGGUUUCUGUCUUUCUGUCUCACUCAGUCCAGCAAACAUCUGUCCAGAGGUGUAGGAGUGACUGGAGCUGCAGAACCGUUCUGCUGCAGGAAAGUUCUGCUGCAGAACGGUUCUGCUGCCGGAAGGUUCUGCUGCCGGAAGGUUCUGCUGCAGAACGGUUCUGCUGCAGGAAGGUUCUGCUGCAGGAAGGUUCUGCUGCAGGAAGGUUCUGCUACAAAACGGUUCUGCUGCAGGAAGGUUCUGCUACAGAACGGUUCUGCUACAGAACGGUUCUGCUGCAGAACGGUUCUGCUACAGGAAGGUUCUGCUGCAGGAAGGUUCUGCUGCAGGAAGGUUCUGCUACAGAACGGUUCUGCUACAGAACGGUUCUGCUGCAGGAAUGUUCUGCUACAGGACGGUUCUGCUGAAGGAAGGUUCAGGCCGGCGCCCCCCCUCAGCGCUCUGACUGAUGUUUCAACAGAAGGACGCCAUGAUGCACAAUAG
rnacentral:lncRNA from 1 species